GCCCUUGUAGCUUAGUGGUAGAGCGUCAGUCUUGUAAAUUGAAGGUCCGUAGUUCAAUUUUGUGUGGAGGCA